UACAGAGGGUGCGAGCGUUGUUCGGAAUUAUUGGGCGUAAAGGGCGCGUAGGCGGUGCGGUAAGUCACCUGUGAAAUCUCCCGGCUCAACCGGGAGCUUGCAGGCGAAACUGCCGUGCUGGAGUGUGGGAGAGGUGCGUGGAAUUCCCGGUGUAGCGGUGAAAUGCGUAGAUAUCAGGAGGAACACCUGUGGCGAAAGCGGCUCACUGGACCAUAACUGACGCUGAUGCACGAAAAGCUAGGGGAGCAAACAGG
rnacentral:rRNA from 1 species